rnacentral:lncRNA from 1 species
GUAAAACAAAAGUACUAGUAUUACUAGAAAACAUGAAGACAAGCUCUGGCUGAAUCACUUCAAUGGAAUGAACCUUGAAGAGUGAGUAGCACCAAUACCGGGCCUACCGUGCUUAACAGGCUUGUAUGAGAUGGAGAACUCAGCUAAGUAGUGACUAAUCAUCUCAGGCUUGACCUCAAUUUGAUUGAAAGUUUUUCCAUUGUAGAUUCCAAUAACACUUCCAAUCAUCUCAGGAACAAUGAUCAUGUUCCUCAAAUGUGUUCUCACAACCUCUGGCUUCUCACCAGGUGGGGCCUCACGUUUCUGUAUGAAUAUGAAAAAAAUGCAUCAAUGGAAAGACAUGGACAUAAUACAACAAUUAGUACUGUAAAACAUAUAGUAAUGAUUACAAUGUUACAGCGAAGCCAAACUUGCAAACCAUGAAACACUGGAUGCAAGCAUUAAAUCCUGUUUAUUUCUGUAGGGAGAGGUGAUUGCAUGAGGAAAACGGCGUACUGAUGAUAGGAUUUGAACAUCAGAAGGCCUUUCCUCCUUCCCCAAAAGACUAUUGUGAAGUAAAAUUUCCCAGUCACAAUAAACUCGUUAACAUUGACUAAUAUGUACAAGAAAUGAAAACAGUACUGCCUCACAUAAAUUCAGCAAAAGAAUGUAACAAAACUACAAGUUGAAAUUCUAGUGGAAGAUGAAAGACAAAACAACUGAGGAAUGAAAAUAUAGGGCAAUCCCACCACUUUGGAAGCAAGUUGAGGCACCCAAAAUGGUCAUGGAAACCCCAAAACAUUGUUGUGCGCCUACGCACAUAGUGCGCCACAAAUAAAAACCUCACUCUGUGGAAUACCACGCCACCUCUUGAUUAACGAGGGAAGCGCUCGGCCUUAGGCGCCUAAUUCUAAACAUCUCUAAGUUGCUAUCAAUAUGUUAAGACUAAGAACCCAAAAAAACAUACUAUCAAUAUGUUAAGACUAAGAAAACAAAAACACCAUUAAAAGAUUCAUUACACUAAUAUUGUUCCUUUUUGUAUAUCAAACAAAAAUUUCAAACUGUGUAAUAUGACUUAGACAAACAGGCAAAACUCUGGAAGAUGAAAUAUUAUACAAUUCGGCAACUGGAAAAGCCAAUAAGGUCAUCAUAGAUAAUCAACAAAGAUGCAAGUAACCUAGAUUGUCCAGGCUCAAUAAGUGGUUGCAAACAUCAACUUUGAGAAAAAGCAUUAAGAGGUACUAGGUGCAGUUUCACAGUUCAGCUGUCUUUUGACUCGUGAUCUAAAUUCAAUAUGGCAUUGCAGUUACACUAAUAGAGUUUUCUCCAACUUAAUACACAAAAUACAAGGUGGGAUUGGAUGCUACUGAGGCCAUUAAAAGCAAAGGCAUAUCAUCAUUCAAAAUAAACAUCAGCAUCGAGGUCAACACAGUCCCUAGUAUAACUAUUUCAAGUAAUUCUUUACUAUAAAAGAGCUGAUAUUUUUAAAGAGAAGCUAAAAGGUAACAUUAUUUAUCUUACCGCCUUGCGGAGCUUCUUGAUCAAAGCCAUAGGCUUCCUCUUCAAACCCCUCUGGAACCUAACACAAUAAAAAUUCAAGAUGAGUCUUUUUGCAAGGAAAAGAAAAUUAACUGCAUACUAAAAUACGAGCUUAUACAUAGAAAAAAUUAUGUACAAUCACCAUAUCCAUACUGCCUUUGAGUUCAGAUACUUAAGGUUUUAAUAUCCCUUUGUUUCACAGUAAAACUAUUUGGAGGGUAAAAAUGUCUAUUCUUUGACUGCAUAUUCGAAGGGGAUUUAAAUAUAUAUUUAUAAUAUAGAACGAAUGACUUGCUUCAGAAAUUAACAACAUCAGUGUUCAAAUUUACAUCAAAUUUAUUGAACAGGACAAUCAUUCACUUUUGGUCCAUUGUAAUAUCUGUUUUUUGCCCUAAUUAUAACUCCCUCGUUACAAGUUCUUCAAUUACACAGCACCAAUGAAAAUGUUUACUUAAGCUCGUGCACAGAUUUACGUUGAAGAAGCUCAGGGUCUUAAAAUUCUACACUAAUACAUGUUCAUACAAAGCAAAUCAAUAGCAAUUUAACAGCAUACAUUUGCAAAAAGAGUUAAAUACCUUCUGCGAGGACGCGCAGGGAAAAGCUUAACAAGCUCGUCAGUAGACAUGUCAAGAAGAGAAUCCAGAUCUACUCCUCUGUAGCUGAACUUCUUGAAC